CAUCUACGGAGAGUUUGAUCCUGGCUCAGGACGAACGCUGGCGGCGUGCUUAACACAUGCAAGUCGAACGAUGAAGCCAGCUUGCUGGUGGAUUAGUGGCGAACGGGUGAGUAACACGUGGGCAACCUGCCCCCGGCUCUGGGAUAACUCCAAGAAAUUGGUGCUAAUACCGGAUAUUCACGCUUCCUCGCAUGGGGUUGUGUGGAAAGUUUUUCGGCUGGGGAUGGGCCCGCGGCCUAUCAGCUU
rnacentral:rRNA from 1 species